AUUGAACGCUGGCGGCAGGCCUAACACAUGCAAGUCGAACGAGUGGCGGACGGGUGAGUAAUGUCUGAGAAACUGCCCGAUGGAGGGGGAUAACUACUGGAAACGGUAGCUCAUACCGCAUACCAUCGGAUGUGCCCAGAUGGGAUUAGCUCGUAGGUGGGGUAACGGCUCACGUAGCCGACUAUCCAUAGCUGGUCUGUGCGGAUGACCAGCAACACUGGAACGUAGACACGGUCCAGACGCUGACGGUAGGCAGCAGUGGGGAAUAUUGCACAAUGGGCGCAAGCCUUAUGCAGCCAGGCCGCGUGUAUGAAGAAGGCCUUCGGGUUGUAAAGUACUUUCAGCGAGGAGGCGUUACUCGCAGAAGAAGCACCGGCUAACUCCGUGCCAGCAGCCGCGGUAAUUC
rnacentral:rRNA from 1 species